rnacentral:tRNA from 1 species
GCUGAGGUAGCCUAGCCCGGUAUGGCGGUGGUCUCGAAAACCACUGUCUUUCAGACUCGGGGGUUCGAAUCCCCCUCUCAGCACCA